rnacentral:rRNA from 1 species
UACAGAGGGUGCGAGCGUUAAUCGGAAUUACUGGGCGUAAAGCGCGCGUAGGCGGCUUUGCAAGUCGGGUGUGAAAUCCCCAGGCUUAACCUGGGAACUGCAUUCGAGACUGCAUUGCUAGAGUAUGGGAGAGGGAAGUGGAAUUUCCGGUGUAGCGGUGAAAUGCGUAGAUAUUGGGAGGAACACCGGUGGCGAAGGCGGCCCUCUGGACCGGUACUGACGCUGAUGCGCGAAAGCGUGGGGAGCAAACGGG